UCCUACGGGAGGCAGCAGUCGAGGAUCAUUCGCAAUGGGCGAAAGCCUGACGAUGCGACGCUGCGUGGAGGAUGACGGCCCUCGGGUUGUAAACUCCUGUCAUGGGGGGCGAGGCGGAGCGGGUUAACGGCCCGCCGAGUUGACGGUACCCCAAGAGGAAGCCACGGCUAACUCUGUGCCAGCAGCCGCGGUAAUACAGAGGUGGCGAGCGUUGUUCGGAUUUACUGGGCGUAAAGGGCGCGCAGGCGGCCGAGCGUGUGGGGUGUGAAAUCUCCGGGCCCAACCCGGAAAGUGCGCUCCAAACUGCCCGGCUCGAGUGCGGGAUGGGGGAUCGGAAUGCAGGGUGUAGCGGUGAAAUGCGUUGAUAUCCUGCAGAACACCGGAGGCGAAGGCGGAUCCCUGGAACGCAACUGACGCUCAGGCGCGAAAGUCGGGGGAGCAAACAGGAUUAGAUACCCUGGUAGUCC
rnacentral:rRNA from 1 species